rnacentral:rRNA from 1 species
CCUACGGGGCGCUGCAGUAGGGAAUAUUGGGCAAUGGGCGCAAGCCUGACCCAGCAACGCCGCGUGAAGGAAGAAGGCUUUCGGGUUGUAAACUUCUUUUCUCAGGGACGAAGCAAGUGACGGUACCUGAGGAAUAAGCCACGGCUAACUACGUACCAGCAACCGCGGGAAUACGUAGGUGGCAAGCGUUAUCCGGAUUUACUGGGUGGAAAGGGCGUGUAGGCGGGCAAGCAAGUCAGAUGUGAAAACCACGGGCUCAACCUGCGGCCUGCAUUUGAAACUGUUUUUCUUGAGUACGGGAGAGGCAGACGGAAGUCCUAGUGUAGCGGUGAAAUGCGUAGAUAUUAGGAGGAACACCAGUGGCGAAGGCGGUCUGCUGGACAGCAACUGACGUUGAGGCGCGAAAGCGUGGGGAGCAAACAGGAUUAGAUACCCGGGUAGUC